rnacentral:rRNA from 1 species
CCUACGGGAGGCAGCAGUGGGGAAUAUUGGUCAAUGGGGGGAACCCUGAUCCAGCGACGCCGCGUGAGUGAAGACGUCUCUCGGUAUGUAAAGCUUUAUCAGCAGGGAAGAAAGAAAUGACGGUACCUGACUAUGAUGCCUCGGUUAACUACGUGCCAGCAGCCGCGGUAAUACGUAGGGGGCAAGAGUUAGCCGGAUUGACUGGGUGUAAAGGGAGCGUAGACGGGGAUGUAAGUCUGAAGUGAAAGGCGGGGGCCCAACCCUCGAACUGGAUUGGAAACUGUAUGGCUGGAGUGCAGGAGAGGUAAGUGGAAUUCCUAGUGUAGCGGUGAAAUGCGUAGAUAUUAGGAAGAACGCCAGUGGCGAAGGCAGCUUACUGGACUGUAACUGACAUUGAGGCUCGAAAGCGUGGGGAGCAAACAGGAUUAGAUACCCCUGUAGUC